UAUAGUCGGCUUGGAUUCUUUAAUGUACCAAGUACUACAAACUGUCAUUUGCGUGUAACAAACCGUAUUUCGUUGGCAUUACACACGCUGAGCGUUCUUUUCGUUCUUCGGUUACAGUUUACAACCAACCUAGUUAAGCUCCGUACUUGCAACAUGUUCCGCAGUCUCGUCGUGCUUUUCCUCGUGAUCGCUGUUCUGGUUGCAAUUGGCGAAUGCUGUCGCCAGGCGAAUGAAGGAUGUUCCAGCAAUCAGUACGAGGACUGCUGUCCAGGUCUGAAGUGUGACCAAAGUGGUGCCGGAGGCUUCUCUGGAUUCUGUCGCCGUCAGUGAUUGCACAUACUUGGAUUAGGCAACUUCCACUGUACAGGGGCGUCAAAAUAUCUGCUGAGCCCAACAGAAAUUCAUCAAUGCACAUAAAUUUUCCUUAUUGUAAAAAUUCGUUUUGCUUGGAAUUUUACAUAACGAUAUGCCUUAGAAACUGUUUGCGCUUAAUACGUUCCGCCGUUAAUACGUUAAUACGUUUUGUAUAAUUACCGUAAAGGUCGAAAUUAAUGACGUGACGGUUAA